CAUUCCUUAGCCCAUGACUACUCCUGAAAAUUCAAGAACCUUCUUUCUUUUGUGGAUGAUAAAAUGAAAAAUCGAACAUAUAGACCAUUGCUUCAUUUUCAUGAUUCAAGAUUGAUUUCGUAUCAAAUUCUCAACAGAUUUGAAGUGUUUUCACGCAUGAUUGCGUCUACGCGGCCGUUAGCGACCAAAUUCCAGCCCAUCUAUUCUUCGAAGGGAAGAUGGGUUGGCACAAUGAUUCCAAGGAAACAAGUAAAUGAAGAUGGUGGUGAUCAAGCAGGUAAUGUAUCGAGAAGGGAAAUGCUGAACCGAUUGUUACUUUCAGCAGGCCACCGCCGCUGCCCCCCUGUUCUUGGAUCACUGGUGGCUAUCUCGGUGCUCGAAUCCUUGAGUAAGGGGGAUAACAAAGACGACUGACAGGUGACACGAAUCAUCUUUUCCCCUGGUAGACUUAUGGAUAAUGCUGUGUGAUCAUGGAAUACCAAAACCUAGGAAUAAGCUCAAGAGUCUGCUUACUUGUGAUAAAUCUUUGCUAGGUAAAGAAGAGUUUUGAGAGUAAUAGUGCUUACAAUGCAAUCUGUAAGGUUUAGUAGCUUGAUGUACCAGGAUAGCACGAUGUUGUAUGUGAUUAGUGGUAGUCGAAACUCGAAGCAUAGUAUCUUGACUCUUUAAGAACUAUAUAUAAACAGGUGAUGUUGUGUUAGCAUGGUGUGUAAGAAUAAAGAUUUGAAAGUAGGAGUUGCUGUCAUACAUUAUGUAGCUGCUGGGGAUGUAUCAAAUAUUUGAAGUGACAGUGUUGAAUAUAGCCUAUUUUCAGUUAAUGGAAUUUGCAUGUGUGAAAUCAA